GCUGGCUUAGCUCAAUCGGUAGAGCAGCUGAUUUGUAAUCAGCAGGUUGUUGGUUCAAGUCCAAUAGCCAGCUCCA
rnacentral:tRNA from 1 species